GAAUAUUGCACAAUGGGGGAAACCCUGAUGCAGCGACGCCGCGUGAGUGAAGAAGUAUUUCGGUAUGUAAAGCUCUAUCAGCAGGGACGAUAAUGACAGUACCUGACUAAGCAGCCCCGGCUCACUACGUGCCAGCAGCCGCGGGAAUACGUAGGGUGCAAGCGUUAUCCGGAUUUACUGGGUGUAAAGGGAGCGUAGACGGCCUGAUAAGGCAGGUGUGAAAGCCCGGGGCUCAACCCCGGGAUUGCACUUGAAACUAUCCGGCUAGAGUGCAGGAGAGGUAAGUGGAAUUCCUAGUGUAGCAGUGAAAUGCGUAGAUAUUAGGAAGAACACCAGUGGCGAAGGCGCCUUACUGGACUGUAACUGACGUUGAGGCUCGAAAGCGUGGGGAGCAAAC
rnacentral:rRNA from 1 species